rnacentral:rRNA from 1 species
CAGUAGUCACGAGUUUGAUCAUGGCUCAGAACGAACGCUGGCGGCAUGCCUAACACAUGCAAGUCGAACGAGACCUUCGGGUCUAGUGGCGCACGGGUGCGUAACACGUGGGAAUUUGCCUCGGGGUAUGGAAUAACUCAGGGAAACUUGAGCUAAUACCAUAUAAUGUCUUCGGACCAAAGAUUUAUCGCCCUGAGAUAAGCCCGCGUAGGAUUAGCUAGUUGGUGAGGUAAAGGCUCACCAAGGCGACGAUCCUUAGCUGGUCUGAGAGGAUGAUCAGCCACACUGGGACUGAGACACGGCCCAGACUCCUACGGGAGGCAGCAGUGGGGGAAUAUUGGACAAUGGGCGAAAGCCUGAUCCAGCAAUGCCGCGUGAGUGAUGAAGGCCUUCGGGUUGUAAAGCUCUUUUACUCGGGACGAUAAUGACGGUACCGAGAGAAUAAGCCCCGGCUAACUCCGUG